rnacentral:rRNA from 1 species
UGGGGGAUAUUGCACAAUGGGCGAAAGCCUGAUGCAGCGACGCCGCGUGGGGGAUGAAGGCUUUCGGGUUGUAAACCUCUUUCGCUAUCGAACAAGGCCCGCUUAGGGUGGGUUGAGGGUAGGUGGAGAAGAAGCGCCGGCUAACUACGUGCCAGCAGCCGCGGUAAUACGUAGGGCGCGAGCGUUGUCCGGAAUUAUUGGGCGUAAAGGGCUUGUAGGCGGCUUGUUGCGCCUGCUGUGAAAACGCGGGGCUUAACUUCGCGCGUGCAGUGGGUACGGGCAGGCUUGAGUGUGGUAGAGGUGACUGGAAUUCCAGGUGUAGCGGUGGAAUGCGCAGAUAUCUGGAGGAGCACCGAUGGCGAAGACAGGUCACUGGGCCAUUACUGACGCUGAGGAGCGAGAGCAUGGGUAGCGAACAG